rnacentral:rRNA from 1 species
UGGCUAACUCCUACGGGNGGCAGCAGUGGGGAAUUUUGGACAAUGGGGGCAACCCUGAUCCAGCAAUGCCGCGUGAGUGAAGAAGGCCUUCGGGUUGUAAAGCUCUUUUGUCAGGGAAGAAACGGUAGUAGCUAAUAUCUAUUACUAAUGACGGUACCUGAAGAAUAAGCACCGGCUAACUACGUGCCAGCAGCCGCGGUAAUACGUAGGGUGCAAGCGUUAAUCGGAAUUACUGGGCGUAAAGCGUGCGCAGGCGGUUGUGUAAGUCAGAUGUGAAAUCCCCGGGCUCAACCUGGGAAUUGCAUUUGAGACUGCACGGCUAGAGUGUGUCAGAGGGGGGUAGAUUUCCACGUGUAGCAGUGAAAUGCGUAGAUAUGUGGAGGAAUACCGAUGGCGAAGGCAGCCCCCUGGGAUAACACUGACGCUCAUGCACGAAAGCGUGGGGAGCAAACAGGAUUAGAUACCCUUGNAGNNCAGCUGG